UGCGUAGGCGGCGCGGAAAGUUGGGUGUGAAAUCCCUCGGCUCAACCGAGGAAUUGCGCCCAAAACUUCCGUGCUCGAGGAAGAUAGAGGUGAGCGGAACUUAGGGUGGAGCGGUGAAAUGCGUUGAUAUCCUAAGGAACACCGGUGGCGAAAGCGGCUCACUGGAUCUUUUCUGACGCUGAGGCACGAAAGCUAGGGUAGCGAACGG
rnacentral:rRNA from 1 species